rnacentral:rRNA from 1 species
GAGUUUGAUCGUGGCUCAGGACGAACGCUGGCGGCGUGCCUAAUACAUGCAAGUCGAGCGGAUUGAUGAGGAAGCUUGCUUCCGAUUCACUUAGCGGCGGACGGGUGAGUAGCACGGAGGCAACCUGCCUGCAAGCUCGGGAUAACAUUCGGAAACGGAUGCUAAUACCGGAUAUGCAGCUUGAUCGCAUGAUCGGGCUGAGAAAGGCGGAGCAAUCUGCCGCUUGCAGAUGGGCCUGCGGCGCAUUAGCUAGUUGGUGAGGUAACGGCUCACCAAGGCGACGAUGCGUAGCCGACCUGAGAGGGUGAUCGGCCACACUGGGACUGAGACACGGCCCAGACUCCUACGGGAGCAGCAGUAGGGAAUCUUCCGCAAUGGACGAAAGUCUGACGGAGCAACGCCGCGUGAGUGAUGAAGGUUCUCGGAUCGUAAAGCUCUGUUGCCAGGGAAGAACAGCGAGGCGAGUAACUGCGCUUCGU